GGAAGCAAGAUGAAGUAGUUAAACCAAAUAACCAUGCCUACAAGAAAAGCUAGGCAUGGGAAUGGACUGGGCCUGGAAGUACAGAUCAGUACAGAUCUCUUUCAGAGACAAAGCAAAGAUACAAGACAGCAAAAAAAGGUCUGACCAUCUCAGCACGCAGUAUGAUAGACUGCGCCUUCAACUGACAUUUUCAUUAUUGCCAAAGCUGCUAGCAACAUGCCAUCUUGCCUUCUCAGGAUUGUGAUUCCACUAGCAUCUGUUGUGCCUCCUUCUCCGACUUGUUGCAACAUAUGUAGCUUCCUUGCAAGAAGCAGCCAAGUCAUCCGCCAAGACUUGGUAGACUAACUGAUCAGUGCUCCCCGUAGAACUUGGCCACAGCUGCACUGAAUGUACUGGACACCCAGCUAUAAGGAUGUGACAGAGAUAUUCAAAAUAAGGAGUGGUCUACAGGAUAUUAGCGGGGUGAUGUCUUUUUUUUUCCUUCCACAAAAUGACAUUAAAAAGCAGUUAAUUUAUUAAAGGAUUAAAAGAACUAUUGUC